GUUUAUUGAAAUAUGCAGCAACGCUGACUUUGGGUGCGAUGAUGGGUAUAUGCGUAGUGUACAUAGACCCAGCAACGUUUGGAAUUCCCGAAAUACCCUCGAACUCGUCUUUAAUUUUCCUCGCCGCGCUCUCCUCCGGCCACUGCAGGUACUUGGGCAUCAGCACCGUCCGGAUCGCGGAGCAGACCUCAAGGACGAGCUUGUGGCAGGUCGAGAUGCCGAGUCCGAAUCGUUUCGACACGAGGCGGAGCGGGUCGCCGGUGGCCAGCCGCCAAAGGCACACCGCCACUCUCUGUCGCACCGGAAUCGCGUUCCGCAGCGUCGUGUCCUCCUUCGCGAUGGCGGAGUUGAGCUCCUCGCAUAUUAAAUCGAACGUGGACUUCCCCAUCCGAAACGCCUUUUUGAAUUCCGAAUCCGGAAAAUCCG
rnacentral:lncRNA from 1 species